UACGAAGGGGGCUAGCGUUGCUCGGAAUCACUGGGCGUAAAGGGUGCGUAGGCGGGUCUUUAAGUCAGGGGUGAAAUCCUGGAGCUCAACUCCAGAACUGCCUUUGAUACUGAGGACCUUGAGUUCGGGAGAGGUAAGUGGAACUGCGAGUGUAGAGGUGAAAUUCGUAGAUAUUCGCAAGAACACCAGUGGCGAAGGCGGCUCACUGGCCCGAUACUGACGCUGAGGCACGAAAAGCGUGGGGAGCAAACAGG
rnacentral:rRNA from 1 species